rnacentral:rRNA from 1 species
AACGAACGCUGGCGGCAUGCCUAACACAUGCAAGUCGAACGGGAUCCUAGCUUGCUAGGUGAGAGUGGCGGACGGGUGAGUAACACGUGGGAAUCUGCCUUUUGGUUCGGGAUAACCGCGGGAAACUGCGGCUAAUACCGAAUGCCCUCGAGAGAGGAAAGAUUUAUCGCCAGAAGAGGAGCCCGCGUCCGAUUAGGUAGUUGGUGGGGUAAAGGCCUACCAAGCCGACGAUCGGUAGCUGGUCUGAGAGGAUGAUCAGCCACACUGGGACUGAGAUACGGCCCAGACUCCUACGGGAGGCAGCAGUGGGAACAUUGGACAAUGGGGGCAACCCUGAUCCAGCAAUGCCGCGUGAGUGAUGAAGGCCUUAGGGUUGUAAAGCUCUUUGCCAGGGAAGAUGAUGACUGUACCUGGAGAAUAAGCCCCGGCUAAACUUCGUGCCAGCAGCCGCGGU